GACGAACCGUGCAAACGUUGUUCGGAAUCACUGGGCUUAAAGGGCGCGUAGGCGGCUCAUCAAGUCGGGGGUGAAAUCUUUCGGCUCAACCGGAAAAGUGCCUUCGAUACUGAUGAGCUAGAGCGAGGUAGGGGCAGAUGGAACUUCCGGUGGAGCGGUGAAAUGUGUUGAUAUCGGAAGGAACGCCGGUGGCGAAAGCGAUCUGCUGGACCUCUUCUGACGCUGAGGAGCGAAAGCCAGGGGAGCAAACGGG
rnacentral:rRNA from 1 species